GACGAACGCUGGCGGCGUGCUUAACACAUGCAAGUCGAACGAUGAAGCCGGAGCUUGCUCCGGUGGAUUAGUGGCGAACGGGUGAGUAACACGUGAGCAAUCUGCCCUUGACUCUGGGAUAACUGCGGGAAACUGUAGCUAAUACCGGAUACGACACCUUGGGGCAUCCCAGGGUGUGGAAAGAAUUUCGGUCAAGGAUGAGCUCGCGGCCUAUCAGCUAGUUGGUGAGGUAAUGGCGCACCAAGGCGACGACGGGUAGCCGGCCUGAGAGGGUGACCGGCCACACUGGAACUGAGACACGGUCCAGACUCCUACGGGAGGCAGCAGUGGGGAAUAUUGCACAAUGGGCGAAAGCCUGAUGCAGCAACGCCGCGUGAGGGAUGAAGGCCUUCGGGUUGUAAACCUCUUUUAGUAGGGAAGAAGCGAAAGUGACGGUACCUGCAGAAAAAGCACCGGCUAACUGCGUGCCAGCCGCCGCGGUAA
rnacentral:rRNA from 1 species